CUCUCCAAUUUACAGAUUUCUCCUCUUUCUCUUUCUUUCUCUCCAAUUCUCUCCAUUGUUUUCACAUCCAAACAAGGUCUUUUCUCUUCUUCCAAACAAAGGGUUAAAACCCUAGCUCUAUCCGCCUCCGUUGAAAUCAAUGGCACCAAAACGAUCAACUCCCUUGGAAGAUCCACCGGCGGCUUCUUCUUCUCAAGAAGAGGAAAGCUCCAGUGGGGAGGAAGAAGAUGGAGAAGAGGAAGAGGGAUCUUCAUCUGAAGAAGAACAAACUCAAGGGAAGCCACAAAAACCAUAUUCUCAACCACCACCACAGACUCAAACUGCAAAAUCAGUCUCCAAGAAGCCAGAUUCCACCACUAAGCAAGCUGGGUCCGUGUCUGACUCUGAUGAGUCUGACUCUGAAUCCGACUCCGAUGAUGGUCGACCUAAUCAUGCCCGUGAUGCCACUGUCAAGCCCAUCGCUUCUAAGCCCAUGGAGGAGACUCAUCCCAAAACCACGAAGCCAAGAACCAAACCCUCGGCAUCCUCUCCGGCUACUACGAAAUCUGCGGCAGCUGUGAAGAGGGCCAGUGAAACUGAUCGCGAUCCGAAAGACUCAAAGCGGGGCAAGAAUAAAGAUUUGGAAUCCGAUGGAGUUGUUGAAAAAUCUGAGGAUACAAAGAAACAGCUGUUCCAACGUCUCUGGAGCGAGGAUGAUGAGAUCGCGGUGUUAAAGGGCAUCAUUGAUUUCACGGAAAAGAAAGGAGUCGACCCUGCAAAGGAUAUGUCUUCAUUUUAUGAUUUCAUUAAGAAAUCGCUUCACUUUGAUGUCUCUUUAAGCCAGUUGAAGGAUAAGGUUUGGAGGUUAAAGAAGAAGUUUGAGAACCAUGUGAGCAAAGGGAAAAAGGGUGAAGAGAAGACAUUUUCGAAAGCUCAUGACCAAAAGUCCUUCGAUUUGUCAAAAAAGAUAUGGGGUAGUGAAGCAACUAGUGGCGGAGGAGUGGAUUUGGGUGUUAAGUCGAAUGGCAAAGCAAAGGGUGCUAUUAAUAGUCUGAGAGGUAAGAGUUUGGCUGCAUUGAAGGCAGAACUAGGUGUGGAUGUGGAGAAGGAGACUGAGAAGGUUGAUAAGAUGGAGGUUGAGUUGGAUAGGCAUUCUGGUCUGAAACAGACUGUACAAUUUGAUAAGAGCGCGAGUGUAGGAGGAAUGGAGGAGUAUGUGGUAAAGAGGGGACUGGAUAUGUUGGAGGGUGCUAAAAAGGCCGAGAUGGAAGAGAAAUGGAGGCAGUUGCAUGUUGCUGAGUUGGAGCUGUUUCUGAAGAGGAAUGAGUUGAUAAGGGAGCAGGCAAAGCUGAUGUUGGCUGCAUAUAAAACUGAGUAGGAUUAGGCUUUGUGAAGCAGCUCAAAUAGAUCCUGAAUGAUAGAAGAAGAGGAGAGAGGGGGGGUGGGGGGGCUGGGGUUUGAGUGAUAUGCCUGAAAUUUUGUUGUACAGAGAUCCUGUUCAUGUUAGAAGCUUUUGUUAUGUUACCUUUAUUCAAAAGGUGGUUGUAAUGGCAAGAUGAGUAGAUGUAUCACUGUGGAACUGAGUUCACCAAAGCUGGAGACAUGAAGCUAAUCAGUAUGCUUUCUAGGUUAUAAUUUUACUUGGAUUAUCAGCCCUAUGAACCUCUCCCCAUGGUUCCUGCCUGCUUGUGUUGGAGUUGGCUGGGAACGCAGCAAGGGACAACAAAAAGAACCGAGUUGUGCCAAGACAUUCAGUUGGCGAUCAGCAAUGAUGAGGAACUGAGCAAGCUGCUUGGUUCUGUUACCAUUGCUAAUGGCGGUGUGUUGCUUAACAUUCACAACAUGUUAUUGCGUAGGAGAACUGGUCCUGGCCACAAAGGCCCGGCUGAUGAUGACAACGAAAGAUUUUUAAGUACCCUUUUUUCUCUUUGGAAGAAACAGUCUCAUACCUUUGGCAAAUAGUAGGUUUCAGAUAACCAUCUUCCUUUUUGUAUUAGUUUUCGGAACCCAUUUUUCAGUGCUUACCAUUUCCUGAUUU